rnacentral:rRNA from 1 species
AAAACGACUCUCGGCAACGGAUAUCUCGGCUCUCGCAUCGAUGAAGAACGUAGCGAAAUGCGAUACUUGGUGUGAAUUGCAGAAUCCCGUGAACCAUCGAGUCUUUGAACGCAAGUUGCGCCCGAAGCCUUUCGGUUGAGGGCACGUCUGCCUGGGUGUCAUAA